GACGAACGCUGGCGGCGUGCUUAACACAUGCAAGUCGAACGAUGAAGCAGAGAGACGCGCACUUCGGUUCAAAUUUCUCUUCGGCUUAGUGGCAGACGGGUGAGUAAUGCGUGAGCAACCUACCUCUUACAAAGGGAUAGCCUCGGGUAACCGUGAUUACUACCAUAUGACACAUUCAUAAGUCAUCUUCAGACUGUUAAAGCUACGGCGGUGAGGGAUGGGCUCGCGUCCCAUUAGCUAGUUGGUGAGGUAACGGCCCACCAAGGCGACGAUGGGUAACCGGGCUGAGAGAGUGAGCGGUCACAAUGGAACUGAGACACGGUCCAAACUCCUACGGGAGGCAGCAGAGGGGAAUAUUGCACAAUGGAGUGAACGCAGAUGCAGCGACGCCGCGUAAGCGAUGAAGGAAGGCGAGACGUAAAGCUCUGUUCUAUGGGAAGAAAAUGACGGUACCAUAGGAGAAAGCCCCGGCUAAAUACGUG
rnacentral:rRNA from 1 species